AUUGAACGCUGGCGGAAUGCUUUACACAUGCAAGUCGAACGGUAGAGGGGGGCAACCCCCUUGAGAGUGGCGAACGGGUGAGUAAUAUAUCGGAACGUGCCCAGUCGUGGGGAUAACGUAGCGAAAGUUACGCUAAUACCGCAUACGAUCUAAGGAUGAAAGCGGGGGAUCGCAAGACCUCGCGCGAUUGGAGCGGCCGAUAUCAGAUUAGGUAGUUGGUGAGGUAAAGGCUCACCAAGCCAACGAUCUGUAGCUGGUCUGAGAGGACGACCAGCCACACUGGAACUGAGACACGGUCCAGACUCCUACGGGAGGCAGCAGUGGGGAAUUUUGGACAAUGGACGCAAGUCUGAUCCAGCCAUUCCGCGUGCAGGA
rnacentral:rRNA from 1 species